CAGUAGCCACGGGAAAACGAGGGGGGCAAGCGUUGUUCGGAAUUAUUGGGCGUAAAGGGUGCGUAGGCGGUUAGAUAAGUCUGAAGUUAAAGGCUGUGGCUUAACCAUAGUACGCUUUGGAAACUGUUUAACUUGAGUGCAAGAGGGGAGAGUGGAAUUCCAUGUGUAGCGGCGAAAUGCGUAGAUAUAUGGAGGAACACCGGUGGCGAAAGCGGCUCUCUGGCUUGUAACUGACGCUGAGGCUCGAAAGCGUGGGGAGCAAACAGGAUUAGAUACCCCCGUAGUCCCUGUCUCUUAUACA
rnacentral:rRNA from 1 species